UAGAUGUGGGUGCUAUACAUGCAGUCGAACGAGUUCUGAUUAUUGAAAGGGUGCUUGCAUCUUGAUUUAAUUUUGAACGAGUGGCGGACGGGUGAGUAACACGUGGGUAACCUGCCCUUAAGUGGGGGAUAACAUUUGGAAACAGAUGCUAAUACCGGAUAAAUCCAGGAACCGCAUGGUUCUGGGCUGAAAGAUGGCGUGAGCUAUCGCUGUUGGAUGGACCCGCGGCGUAUUAGCUAGUUGGUGAGGUAACGGCUCACCAAGGCAAUGAUACGUAGCCGAACUGAGAGGUUGAUCGGGCACAUUGGGACUGAGACACGGCCCAAACUCCUACGGGAGGCAGCAGUAGGGAAUCUUCCACAAUGGACGCAAGUCUGAUGGAGCAACGCCGCGUGAGUGAAGAAGGCUUUCGGGUCGUAAAACUCUGUUGUUGGAGAAGAAUGGUCGGCAGAGUAACUGUUGUCGGCGUGACGGUAUCCAACCAGAAAGCCACGGCUAACUACGUGCCAGCAGCCGCGGUAAUACGUAGGUGGCAAGCGUUAUCCGGAUUUAUUGGGCGUAAAGCGAGCGCAGGCGGUUUUUUAAGUCUGAUGUGAAAGCCCUCGGCUUAACCGAGGAAGUGCAUCGGAAACUGGGAAACUUGAGUGCAGAAGAGGACAGUGGAACUCCAUGUGUAGCGGUGAAAUGCGUAGAUAUAUGGAAGAACACCAGUGGCGAAGGCGGCUGUCUGGUCUGUAACUGACGCUGAGGCUCGAAAGCAUGGGUAGCGAACAGGAUUAGAUACCCUGGUAGUCCAUGCCGUAAACGAUGAAUGCUAGGUGUUGGAGGGUUUCCGCCCUUCAGUGCCGCAGCUAACGCAUUAAGCAUUCCGCCUGGGGAGUACGACCGCAAGGUUGAAACUCAAAGGAAUUGACGGGGGCCCGCACAAGCGGUGGAGCAUGUGGUUUAAUUCGAAGCAACGCGAAGAACCUUACCAGGUCUUGACAUCUUUUGAUCACCUGAGAGAUCAGGUUUCCCCUUCGGGGGCAAAAUGACAGGUGGUGCAUGGUUGUCGUCAGCUCGUGUCGUGAGAUGUUGGGUUAAGUCCCGCAACGAGCGCAACCCUUAUGACUAGUUGCCAGCAUUUAGUUGGGCACUCUAGUAAGACUGCCGGUGACAAACCGGAGGAAGGUGGGGAUGACGUCAAAUCAUCAUGCCCCUUAUGACCUGGGCUACACACGUGCUACAAUGGAUGGUACAACGAGUUGCGAGACCGCGAGGUCAAGCUAAUCUCUUAAAGCCAUUCUCAGUUCGGACUGUAGGCUGCAACUCGCCUACACGAAGUCGGAAUCGCUAGUAAUCGCGGAUCAGCACGCCGCGGUGAAUACGUUCCCGGGCCUUGUACACACCGCCCGUCACACCAUGAGAGUUUGUAACACCCGAAGCCGGUGGCGUAACCCUUUUAGGGAGCGAGCCGUCUAAAGGGGGACA
rnacentral:rRNA from 1 species